UACGUAGGGGGCAAGCGUUGUCCGGAUUUAUUGGGCGUAAAGAGCGUGUAGGCGGCCAUACAGGUCAGCUGUGAAAACUCGAGGCUCAACCUCGAGACGUCGGUUGAAACCGUAUGGCUAGAGUCCGGAAGAGGAGAGUGGAAUUCCCGGUGUAGCGGUGAAAUGCGCAGAUAUCGGGAAGAACGACCCGUGGCGAAGGCGGCUUACUGGGCUGUAACUGACGCUGAGGCACGAAAGUGUGGGGAUCAAACAGG
rnacentral:rRNA from 1 species